rnacentral:rRNA from 1 species
GACGAACGCUGGCGGCGUGCUUAACACAUGCAAGUCGAACGGAAAGGCCCUGCUUUUGCUGGGUGCUCGUGUGGCGCACGGGUGAGUAACACGUGAGUAACCUGCCCUUGACUUUGGGAUAACUUCAGGAAACUGGGGCUAAUACCGGAUAGGAGCUCCUGCUGCAUGGUGUGGGAUGGAAAGUUUCGGCGGUUGGGGCUGGAAUCGCGGGUUAUCCGCUUGUUGGUGGGGUAGUUGCUUACCAAGGCUUUGACGGGUAGCCGGCCUGGGAGCGUGACCGGGGACAUGGGUACUGAGAUACGGACCAGAAGGCUACGGGCGGCAGCGGGGGGGAAUAUGGCACAGUGGGCGGAAGUCUGAUGCAGCGACGCCGCGUGCGGGAUGACGUCUUUCGGGGUGUAAACCGCUUUCGACUGUGAUGAAGCGUGAGUGACGGUAAUGGGUAAAGAAGCACCGGCUAACUACGUG